rnacentral:rRNA from 1 species
GACGAACGCUGGCGGCGUGCUUAACACAUGCAAGUCGAACGGAAAGGCCCUGCUCUUGUUGGUUGCUCGAUUGGCGAACGGGUGAGUAACACGUGAGUAUCCUGUCCCUGUCUUUGUGAUAACUUCUGGAAACUGGGGCUAAUACCGGAUAUGAUCUUCUGCUGCAUGGUGGGGGUUGGAAAGUUUCGGCGGUUUGGGAUGGACUCGCUGCUUAUCCGCUUGUUUGUGAGGUAGUGGCUUACCAAGGCUUUGACGGGUAGCCGGCCUGAGAGGGGGACCGGGGACAUUGGGACUGAGAGACGGACCAGAAUGCAACGGGAGGCAGCAGUGGGGAGCAUUGCGCAAUGGGGGGACGCGUGAUGCAGAAGCGUCGCGUGCGGAAUGACGGGUUUCGGGUUGUAAACAGAUUUCGACUGUGCCGAGGAGUGAGUGACGGUAAUGGGUAAGAAAGCCCCGGCUAACUACGUG